GACAGAGGGUGCAAACGUUGUUCUGAAUUACUGGGCGUAAAGCGCGUGUAGGCGGCUAAGUAAGUCGGGCGUGAAAUCCCACGGCUCAACCGUGGAAGUGCACUCGAAACUGCAUAGCUAGAGUCCUGGAGAGGAAGGUGGAAUGCUUGGUGUAGAGGUGAAAUUCGUAGAUAUCAAGCGGAACACCGGUGGCGAAGGCGGCCUUCUGGACAGUGACUGACGCUGAGACGCGAAAGCGUGGGGAGCAAACAGG
rnacentral:rRNA from 1 species